CUUGACUACCGGGACUUAAACUCCGACCCCUCGGUCGUCCAGCCCGUAACCAGUCGCUAUACUUACUACAUAAGGGCUCGCAAUAAUGUUCAGAAUUACAUUUGUCUUUGACCGGCACAAAUGUGAGGGGGGUUAGCCUAAAAUUAUAUCUUCUUUUGUGAAGUCACAUCGCAAAUUUUAAGAAUCUUUGCGUUCUACUAAUUAUUCCAAUAAAAUCUGUCACUGUCGGCAAGCUAGUGGCCAAUGAUAUUUGAUUCUUCAGUCUUUUAAAGCACUGUUUGAACUGUUGAAGGUAUAUACCAUCGCAUAAGACCCGAAGAUGAUGACGAAUGGUGACAUAUACAAGGAGGCGGUCGUGUGUUUCGAAGCAUAGCCCCUAGCUCGGCAUUCUAUUCGGAAGAUUCGAGAAAAGCACGAAUAUCUUCAGACAGAAUAGCCGAUAAACCGAAAACUCAGAAUAUUUACUUCCCAAAUAUGCUGUUAUGCAGUUUCGGUGCGCAGUUCUUACAUUCUGGUCACGUGGAACAGAGGCAGGACAGCGAAUAUGACGUAAGGGACAUGACACGUCCUUCCGCUUCCGCCUGAAUCAUGCGACUGGAUGUUGGUGCGAUAGUGCGAAUUUCUUGCCCGUGUGGAAAAUAUUUGGCGAUAUACAAAUGGUUUCUGAGAAUAUGCAGCGUGUGUCAGCCUACAGCAGCAUAUGACGUCUGUCCGAGUCCAGUGAUGCAUUCUCCAGAAUACCGCCCCGCGUCACCAACAAUCGCCGGAAGAGCUAUCUAAUUGUGUGGUUCAAAAUGUAUUCUCUGCGUGUAGGGGUUAAAUGUCUAAUUCCACGCAAUCUAAUCUAUAUCCCAGAAAACAGCAUUUAGCACUGUAGAUGGUUCUUACGUCAUAUUCUUGUGAACUAUCACCGGUAAAGGAACAGUGUAGAAACCACCAGUCGCUUCCAACCUCAGUGAUUACAGGGGCUACCUACAUGCAGCUCAUUACAACUAUAUUUUAAUGCUAGUGGGGUGGGACUAAGUCCCUUGUACUGCGGCCACUUCUGGCCUGUUGUACCAGCCC